CCGAGUUUUGUCUUCUUUAAGCAAAGUGAAAUGGUGGCAAACACCUUUGAUUUAAAGGUAGGGUAUUCCGUGAUUUAAGCAUUAGUGGAUCAAUCAAGACCGGUGCUUUAUUUGCUUACGUGUUUAUGCAUAAUUGAAAAUCAUUCAACAAAGAAAGCAGAAGAAAUCUCACUCUCUCUCUCUCACGGCCGAACCCAGCAAAAACAGAGCACGGAUUCUUCGAUCUCUCUCUCCCUCCUCAGGCCACCUCAAGACGUCGAACCACCUCCAUUAGCCUCGCCUAGACCUUGCACUGCUGCAGUGGCAUCCUUGCACCGCGGCACAACCGGAAAACGGCGGCGGAAACACGGUUUCGUUUUAAAACCCGAUUGGGUCCAAUUGUGAUAACUCGAGCUACAGGCCAUCAAUCCUCACCAAACUUCAUCCUCGAGCUCGCCUCAACUUCCUGAAGCUCCCAGAAGCAGCCUCACACGGCGGCGUGGCCCGUAGCAGUGGCUACAAGUCAAACCCAACCAAGAACGAAACCGGAGCUAUCGAUCCAAAUAUCUUGAGCUACAGGAUGUCGUUUUGAGUGAUUCUUGAACCAGUGAGCUCGCCUUGAAGUUCUGAACAACUCUCCAGAAGGAAUCGAAGCGUUUCGUUGAAGUUUUUACGUCGGAAUUCAAGCUCGCCGGAUUCUGGAAAUUUUCCGGCCACCGACGCUUUCGAUCAAGAUAUCUUGAGCUGUAGAGCUUCGUUUUGAGUGAUUCUUGAACCAGUGAGUUCGUCUUUAAGUUCUGAACAAGUCUCCUGAAGGAAUCGAAGCGAAAGGAGGACAUUUUUACGUUGAUCGGAGCUUCGCCGGCUUCUGCAAAUUCUCGCCGGUUUUUGGAAAAAUUCCGGCCACCUCGACUGUUUUAGGUGAUUGACGGUCUUCCUUGGGUGAGCGAUUUCGGUGUGUAUUGUGUUGAAUUGAAGACGCAGCGGGAAUAUCGAGCGGGUAAUCCUACAGGUCAGGCGAAUCGGGAAGGUGAUCGAGCUGCUUAGAGAAAUUGCAUUGGGUAAAUCUGGAUUUAUAUUGUGAGGUUUAUUAUGCUCUUUUGAGUAUUGUAAAUUAAGUUGUGAGAGUGUGAUGUAAUAAGUAAAUUGAAGAUUGGUUUUUGUAAUAUUGAGAGGUGUGAAGUGUGGUUGUUUGUGAGAAAAAAAUUCAGGACGUUAUUUGUAUUGAUGUUAAUCAUGUUUCGGAUUUGAAUUGAUUAUUCAAAAUUCGGGGCGUGACAGUUUGGUAUCAGAGCGUAAGGUGCAUAUUCGGUGAUGUGUCAAUACCUUCCGAGUGAUGGCCCGUCUGCAGCGGAUCCCCAUCGUGUACUCUUCGGUAUUGGCAAAGUCAUUGGGUAUGUAUGAACGUUAGGAGUCGUCUAGGACGUCGAGUUGCUUUAGGACCUUGAAUGCUUCCUUAUGGUAUUGACUUGGUUAAUAUGGACUGGUAUUUGACUUAUAAUGUGUGUAAGUG